CCUACGGGAGGCAGCAGUGAGGAAUAUUGGUCAAUGGACGAGAGUCUGAACCAGCCAAGUAGCGUGAAGGAUGACUGCCCUAUGGGUUGUAAACUUCUUUUAUAUGGGAAUAAAAUGUUCCACGUGUGGGAUUUUGUAUGUCCAAUAUGAAUAAGGAACGGCUAAGUCCGUGCCAGCAGCCGCGGUAAUACGGAGGAUCCGAGCGUUAUCCGGAUUUAGUGGGUGUAAAGGGAGCGUAGGUGGAUUGUUAAGUCAGUUGUGAAAGUUUGCGGCUGAACCGUAAAAUUGCAGUUGAAACUGGCAGUCUUGAGUACAGUAGAGGUGGGCGGAAUUCGUGGUGUAGCGGUGAAAUGCUGAGAUAUCACGAAGAACGCCGAUUGCGAAGGCAGCUCACUGGACUGCAACUGACACUGAGGCUCGAAAGUGUGGGGAUCAAACAGGAUUAGAUACCCGAGUAGUC
rnacentral:rRNA from 1 species